UUGAUCAUGGCUCAGAUUGAACGCUGGCGGAAUGCUUUACACAUGCAAGUCGAACGGUAGAGGGGGCAACCCCUUGAGAGUGGCGAACGGGUGAGUAAUAUAUCGGAACGUGCCCAGUCGUGGGGGAUAACGUAGCGAAAGUUACGCUAAUACCGCAUACGAUCUAAGGAUGAAAGCGGGGGAUCGCAAGACCUCGCGCGACUGGAGCGGCCGAUAUCAGAUUAGGUAGUUGGUGGGGUAAAGGCUCACCAAGCCAACGAUCUGUAGCUGGUCUGAGAGGACGACCAGCCACACUGGAACUGAGACACGGUCCAGACUCCUACGGGAGGCAGCAGUGGGGAAUUUUGGACAAUGGACGCAAGUCUGAUCCAGCCAUUCCGCGUGCAGGAUGAAGGCCCUCGGGUUGUAAACUGCUUUUGUACGGAACGAAAAGGUCUCUCCUAAUACGAGAGGCUCAUGACGGUACCGUAAGAAUAAGCACCGGCUAACUACGUGCCAGCAGCCGCGGUAAUACGUAGGGUGCAAGCGUUAAUCGGAAUUACUGGGCGUAAAGCGUGCGCAGGCGGUUAUAUAAGACAGAUGUGAAAUCCCCGGGCUCAACCUGGGAACUGCAUUUGUGACUGUAUAGCUAGAGUACGGUAGAGGGGGAUGGAAUUCCGCGUGUAGCAGUGAAAUGCGUAGAUAUGCGGAGGAACACCGAUGGCGAAGGCAAUCCCCUGGACCUGUACUGACGCUCAUGCACGAAAGCGUGGGGAGCAAACAGGAUUAGAUACCCUGGUAGUCCACGCCCUAAACGAUGUCAACUGGUUGUUGGGUCUUAACUGACUCAGUAACGAAGCUAACGCGUGAAGUUGACCGCCUGGGGAGUACGGCCGNCAGGUUGAAACUCAAAGGAAUUGACGGGGACCGCACAAGCGGUGGAUGAUG
rnacentral:rRNA from 1 species